AAUAUGAGCCUCUAAAAAAUGAAGGCAUGACUCGAUACAGGAUUCAUAGAUCUUUUUAGAGAGAGAAAAUCGGUCAUGAGAGAGAAAGUAGAGAGAGAAAGUGGAGAGAGAAUCUUCGUAUCCUUCAAAAGUGGCAAUCACGAUUAAGAUCAUCAGAGGUUAUAUCAGGGUGACUUAAUAUAGAUUAACCAUGAUCGAUGUUAUCAAUUUCGAAUAAGGAUCGGAUCGGGAUCCAAUUCUGCAUAAAUUUUGGAGCAGUCUCAGGU
rnacentral:lncRNA from 1 species